GGAACAAAAUUCUACAGUGCUGGAUAAAAUAGUGGAGGUUUCACACUCUAUUAAAUCUGCUUUAAAAGUGGGAAACUUUGAAGUUACACUGAAACCGUAUGUAAGUAUUGAGGAAAAAAGGCUUGCUGCUGACAAUCCUUAUGAAUACAUGGAACAGUAUAUUGCUCUAAAUGAAGACCUAAAACAAAUGUUGGAAAGCAGCAAGGACUCUGCAAAGCUGGAUGCAAUGAAAAGGAUUGUUGGGAUGAUUGCAAAGGGAAAAAAUGCUUCUGAGCUGUUUCCUGCUGUUGUGAAGAAUGUUGCCAGUAAAAAUAUUGAGAUAAAAAAGCUCGUGUAUGUUUAUCUGAUGCGAUAUGCGGAAGAACAGCAAGAUUUAGCAUUGUUGUCCAUCAGUACUUUUCAGCGCGCUUUGAAAGAUCCUAAUCAGUUAAUCCGUGCAAGUGCUCUCAGAGUUUUAUCUAGUAUCCGUGUGCCAAUUAUUGUUCCUAUUAUGAUGCUUGCUAUUAAAGAAGCCUCUUCUGAUUUAUCUCCUUAUGUGAGGAAGAAUGCAGCCCAUGCAAUCCAAAAACUGUACAGUCUUGAUCCAGAGCAAAAGGAAAUGUUAAUUGAAGUGAUAGAAAAGCUGCUGAAGGAUAGAAGUACGCUGGUAGCUGGCAGCGUUGUGAUGGCAUUUGAGGAAGUGUGUCCGGAUAGAAUAGAUCUGAUUCACAAGAACUACCGAAAGCUGUGUAACUUGCUGGUUGAUGUAGAAGAAUGGGGUCAAGUUGUUAUAAUCCACAUGUUAACUCGAUAUGCACGUACACAGUUUGUAAGCCCAUGGAAGACGGAUGAGGACGUUGAAGAAGAAUACAACGAAAACAAUUUCUAUGAAUCUGAUGAUGAACAGAAAGAAAAGGAUCGGAAAGUUAAGAAGACCUACACUAUGGACCCAGAUCACAGGCUGCUGCUACGAAAUACAAAGCCCUUGCUUCAAAGCCGAAAUGCUGCUGUGGUAAUGGCAGUUGCACAGCUUUACUGGCAUUUGGCACCAAAAUCCGAAGCUGGCAUUAUUUCUAAGUCAUUAGUGCGUUUACUCCGUAGUAACAGGGAAGUGCAGUAUAUUGUUCUGCAAAAUAUUGCCACUAUGUCAAUUCAGAGAAAGGGCAUGUUUGAACCUUAUCUGAAGAGUUUCUAUGUUAGAUCAACGGAUCCAACAAUGAUUAAAACUCUGAAGCUCGAAAUCAUGACAAAUUUAGCAAACGAAGCCAACAUAUCAACUCUGCUUCGAGAAUUUCAGACUUACGUGAAAAGCCAAGAUAAACAGUUUGCUGCAGCUACAAUUCAGGCAAUAGGCAGAUGUGCAACAAACAUCACUGAAGUGACUGACACAUGUCUUAACGGCCUCGUUUGUCUGCUGUCCAGCAGGGAUGAAAUUGUUGUUGCUGAAAGUGUUGUUGUCAUUAAGAAGCUGCUGCAAACCCAGCCAGCACACCAUGGUGAAAUAAUUAAGCAUAUGGCCAAACUCUUGGAUAACAUUACAGUUCCAGUAGCAAGAGCCAGUAUCUUGUGGCUCAUUGGGGAGUACUGUGAACGGGUUCCAAAGAUUGCACCUGAUGUUCUGAGAAAGACAGCCAAGAGCUUCACAAAUGAAGAUGACCUUGUAAAGUUGCAGAUCUUAAAUUUGGGAGCAAAACUCUAUUUAACGAACUCAAAGCAGACAAAAUUGCUUACCCAGUAUGUAUUAAAUCUCGGCAAGUAUGAUCAAAGCUACGACAUCAGAGACCGUACAAGAUUUAUUAGGCAGCUUAUUGUUCCGAAUGAGAAGAGUGGAGCUUUAAGCAAAUAUGCCAAAAAAAUAUUUCUGGCACAGAAACCUGCUCCAUUGCUCGAGUCUCCCUUUAAAGAUCGGGAUCAUUUCCAGCUUGGUACCUUAUCUCACACACUGAACAGCCAAGCCACUGGCUACCUGGAGCUGUCUGACUGGCCAGAGGUGGCCCCUGACCCUGCUGUGCGAAACGUUGAAGUGGCCGAAUCGACAAAGGAAUGGACUGCAAUUCUCAAUAAGGCGAAGAAAGAGAAACCUGCUGAAAAGUUCUACUCUGAAUCAGAAGAGGAGGAAGAGGACUCUAGCAGUAAAAGUGCAACAGAGAGUGAGUCUGGCAGUGAAAGUGAGAAGGAAGAUAAGGAAGAAAGCAGUGAUGAUGAGAGCAGUGGGAGUUCCUCUUCCACCAGAGUAUCAAGUGACAGUGAAUCAGAAGAAAGUACAGCAAAGAAAACAUCUGGAGCUGCUGAAGAAAGUGAUUCAGAAGACAUUAAAAAGAAAGCAAAGGCAGUCUCCAAAACCAGAAACACAUACAGCUCCUCUGGUACAGAGUCUAGUUCAUCAGAUGAGAGUUCUUCAGACUCCAAGUCAGAAUCGGACUCUGAUAGUGACUCAGAAGCUGAAAAAUCUGGAAAUGCUAUCUCUAGAAAGAAAGAAGAAAAAACAGUGCAAGACAGAAAAACUCCAAAUAAACAAGAUGUGUCUCUGUUAGAUUUAGAUGACUUCUACCCUGUAACAACUCCUGUGGCAGUUCCUGCAGCAGCUGUUUUGUCCCCAAGUUUAACAGCAGACCUAGAGGGCUUAAGUCUGUCAGAUUCAUCAGUCAUUGAUGUCUCUACCCCAGUCUUUGUGCCAACAAAAAUGCAUGAAAUGCUUCAUCGGAUGACUGGAAAAGGAUUAUCAGCUCAUUAUCAUUUCUCAAGACAACCUUGCAUUUUUGGUGAUCGUAUGGUAUCUGUGCAAGUGACAUUAACAAAUACAACUGAUCAGAAGAUAGAUAAUAUCCAUAUAGGGGAGAAGAAAUUACCCCCUGGCAUGAGGAUGCAUGAGUUUAAUCCAAUAGAAUGCCUUGAGCCUGAGAAAUCUGUGACUGUUUCAAUGGGCAUCGACUUCUGUGAUUCUACUCAGACUGCCAGUUUCCAGUUAUGCACCAAGGAUGAUCAUUUCAGUGUUAACAUUCAGCCCCCUGUUGGAGAACUGCUUUUGCCUGUCACUAUGUCAGAGAAAGACUUUAAGAAGGAGCAAGCCUGCCUCUCUGCUUUAUACCUGCUCAGCAACUCAAGGGAUGCUGACAGGAAUGAAUGAGACAUCUGCUACUGUAGAUCUUGCUCCACAGAACUCCACUAGUCAUGUAAUAAUUGAGAGACUAAUGAAGGCAGCAAACCUAGGUGUAGUCCCUUCUGGUCAAGACAAAAUACACAGAUUUGCAGCGAAGACUGUGCACAGUGGGUCACUGAUGCUAGUCACAGUGGAGCUGAAGGAGAGCUCUACAGCACAGCUCAUCAUAAAUACUGAGAAAACUGUGAUUGGUUCUGUUCUGCUGCGGGAGCUGAAGCCUGUCCUGUCCCAGGGGUAACCUGCUUACAUCUGGACUUCAGAAUCUGGCACACAACAAAAGUGCCUGGCAUCCACUACUGCUGCCUUUCAUUUAUAAUAAUAGCCCUUCCAUCUGGCAGUGGGGGGAAGAAUACACUCUUGACAUUCUUCUGCUUUAGAAUGCUAGUGUAUGCAAGUCGUCUCCUUUUUUUCCUGCUUGCUAACCAAAGAGCAUAUAUUUUACUGUCAGUUAUCUGCAUUCUUAAAUGUAUUUCCCAUUUGUUCUAUUUGAGUACUUUCCUCACUUUCGACCCCCCUCCCUUUUCUCACUGUAGUGGACAAAUAUUAGAUAAUGAAGUUGAAGGGAAAUCACAGUGCUUAAGAAUCACGUUAAAAACAGCAGAUAGUUAGGUUCCAGCAACAUAUGCAACAAUUACAUGUGCACUUCAGAGAAGCACACACUUGUACAACAGAUACAGGAAAAUCGUUUGCUAUCUGAAAAUCCUUCUGCACCUGAACGCAUGUAGUAAGAAUAUUGUUCCCACUUGAUGUGAUUUUCUGAAAUAUUUCUGUUGAGCUGCCAAUAAAGUAGUGCUUAGAGCAGAAA